GGGAAUGUGGCUCAGUGGAAGAGUUGCUUGUCUUGCAUGCAAGAGGUCCUGGGUUCAAUUCCUUAGCACCA
rnacentral:tRNA from 1 species